UUGACACGGUGGCAAUGUUGUAAUUACAUUGAAAUUUGUUUUAAUUGGAUUUCACUACUGUUUUUGUUUACACGGUAGUUAAAUCCCUUACCUUGAAAAUUUAGAAAGGUUUUCUUUAAUUCAAUAUUGCUGAAACGUACCCUUUCCUUCUCAUUCUCUCGUACGCGAAAUCUUUCUCACUCAAAACCCUAAAACGAUUUCCCUUCCUCUUUCUCACUCAAAAAUCCUUCAAAUCCUUCAUAAAUCUUCUAUGCUGCACAUUGUGUAACAUCAGUUUGUCAUCAAGUUUGAACUCUUCUCUCACAAACCCCAACCGAGCAGCAGCCGUCGCCGUUCUUUCCUUGAUAUCGCGUCGUUGGUUGUGUCUGUUGAACUCAAGAACGCAGAUUCUGUUGAUUCUUCGUCUUCACCCUCUCUGGUAAGUUUAUUUUCUCGUUAUUUAUUGUUUUUGUUAUAUAGAUCUAUACAUGUAUAAGC
rnacentral:lncRNA from 1 species